AAUCAACGCUGGCGGCAUGCCUUACACAUGCAAGUCGAACGGUAACAGGUCUUCGGAUGCUGACGAGUGGCGAACGGGUGAGUAAUACAUCGGAACGUGCCUAGUAGUGGGGGAUAACUACUCGAAAGAGUGGCUAAUACCGCAUGAGAUCUACGGAUGAAAGCAGGGGAUCGCAAGACCUUGUGCUACUAGAGCGGCCGAUGGCUGAUUAGGUAGUUGGUGGGAUAAAAGCUUACCAAGCCGACGAUCUGUAGCUGGUCUGAGAGGACGAUCAGCCACGCUGGGACUGAGACACGGCCCAGACUCCUACGGGAGGCAGCAGUGGGGAAUUUUGGACAAUGGGCGCAAGCCUGAUCCAGCAAUGCCGCGUGCAGGAUGAAGGCCUUCGGGUUGUAAACUGCUUUUGUACGGAACGAAAAGCCCUGGGUUAAUACCCUGGGGUCAUGACGGUACCGUAAGAAUAAGCACCGGCUAACUACGUGCCAGCCGCCGCCGUAA
rnacentral:rRNA from 1 species